rnacentral:rRNA from 1 species
UUGAACGCUGGCGGAAUGCUUUACACAUGCAAGUCGAACGGCAGCACGGGGGCAACCUUGGUGGCGAGUGGCGAACGGGUGAGUAAUGUAUCGGAACGUACCCAGUCGUGGGGGAUAACUAUCCGGAAGGAUAGCUAAUACCGCAUACGUCCUGAGGGAGAAAGCGGGGGAUCGCAAGACCUCGCGCGAUUGGAGCGGCCGAUAUCGGAUUAGCUAGUUGGUGAGGUAAAGGCUCACCAAGGCGACGAUCCGUAGCGGGUCUGAGAGGACGACCCGCCACACUGGAACUGAGACACGGUCCAGACUCCUACGGGAGGCAGCAGUGGGGAAUUUUGGACAAUGGGGGAAACCCUGAUCCAGCCAUUCCGCGUGCGGGAAGAAGGCCUUCGGGUUGUAAACCGCUUUUGUCAGGGAAGAAAUCUUCUGAGCUAAUACCUCGGGAGGAUGACGGUACCUGAAGAAUAAGCACCGGCUAACUACGU